rnacentral:sRNA from 1 species
GCUGGGUACAGUGGCCAGUGCCUGUAGUCCCAGGUACUAGGGAGGCUGAGGCAGGAGAAUCACUUGAACCCAGGAGGCGGAGGUUGCAGUGAGCCGAGGUCACGCCACUGCACUCCAGCCUGGGCAACAGAGUGAGAUUCUGUCUCAA